UUUGUACUCUCUCCGUCCCAAAAUUUUUAUCUUAAAUUUAUCUAAAUACGGAUGUAUCAAGUCACAUUUUAGUAUUAGGUACAUUAGUAUCUAGACAAAUUUAAGGCAAUAAUUUUGAGACGAAGGGAGUACUAA
rfam:Triticum urartu cultivar G1812 contig733976, whole genome shotgun sequence.